CCGCCGAAGGUGGGAUAGAUGAUUGGGGUGAAGUCGUAACAAGGUAGCCGUAUCGGAAGGUGCGGCUGGAUCACCUCCU
rnacentral:rRNA from 1 species